AAUAAGGAUUUCAUAGAAUCCACACAUAUAAAAUAUUGGCAUUUAU
rfam:Sarcophilus harrisii ctg7180002341184, whole genome shotgun sequence.